rnacentral:rRNA from 1 species
UACGGAGGGUGCGAGCGUUAAUCGGAAUUACUGGGCGUAAAGCGCAUGCAGGCGGUCUGUUAAGCAAGAUGUGAAAACCCGGGGGCUCAACCUCGGAACAGCAUUUUUGAACUGGCAGACUAGAGUCUUGUAGAGGGGGGGUAGGAAUUUCAGGUGUAGCGGUGAAAAUGCGUAGAGAUCUGAAGGAAUACCCGGUGGCGAAGGCGGCCCCCCUGGACAAAAGACUGACGCUCAGAUGCGAAAGCGUGGGGGAGCAAAACAGGAUUAGAUACCCCGGUAGUCC